UAGGGAAUCUUCCGCAAUGGACGCAAGUCUGACGGAGCAACGCCGCGUGAGUGAGGAAGGAUUUAGGUUCGUAAAACUCUGUUGUUAGAGAAGAACAGCGCAUAGAGUAACUGUUAUGCGUGUGACGGUAUCUAACCAGAAAGCCACGGCUAACUACGUGCCAGCAGCCGCGGUAAUACGUAGGUGGCAAGCGUUGUCCGGAUUUAUUGGGCGUAAAGCGAGCGCAGGCGGUCAAUUAAGUCUGAUGCGAAAGCCCCCGGCUCAACCGGGGAGGGUCAUUGGAAACUGGUUGAUUUGAGUGCAGAAGAGGAGAGUGGAAUUCCAUCUGUAGCGGUGAAAUGCAUAGAUAUAUGGAGGAUCACCAGUGGCGAAGGCGACGCUCUAGUCUGUAACUGACGCUGAGGCUCGAAAGCGUGGGUAGCAAACAGG
rnacentral:rRNA from 1 species